UACAGAGGUCUCAAGCGUUGUUCGGAUUCAUUGGGCGUAAAGGGUGCGUAGGCGGCGCGGUAAGUCACCUGUGAAACCUCUGGGCUUAACUCAGAGCCUGCAGGCGAAACUGCCGUGCUGGAGUGUGGGAGAGGUGCGUGGAAUUCCCGGUGUAGCGGUGAAAUGCGUAGAUAUCAGGAGGAACACCGGUGGCGAAGGCGGGUCUCUGGGCAGUAACUGACGCUGAGGAGCGAAAGCGUGGGGAGCGAACAGG
rnacentral:rRNA from 1 species